GGAUGCUUAACCGACUGAGUCACCCAGGCGCCCCUCAAAGUAAGAAAUAAUUUUAUACACCACACAAUCACGGGGGUCCUUGAGGAUCUCCAAACAUUUUUUGAACUAGUUGACUUUCAAUUGCGAGACCUGGUCCCAGCCCUGAAGCUUCAGGAGGUUAAGUGUGCCACCCAAGGUGGCUGGAAUUUUCCCAGCUAUAAGGACAAGAUUCUACUUCAGAGAUGAAGGGAGGGGAGUUCCCAAAAGGGACCAAUAAAACCCCUGAAGCAGAAACAAGAGGAGACAAGGGUAGAGGGGGACUGCGGUUGAAUCAGAGGACCUCUGGGGUGAAGGUGAAGAGCCCUCUCCAGGACCAGCAUUCCUGGGUGCUCACCUGUGUCAUCCCUCCUGCCCCAACAGAGGAAGGACUGCCCUACAACAGCAGUAGGUAGAUCUGAUGGUAGAUCUAGUAGUUUGCGGAACCUGAAGAGGGGGCCCAGCAGGACCCUCAAAUGGAUUCUGGAGUAUCCAGGAUGUCAGGAUGUACAUGCCCUUGGUUAAUGAGAAGUCCUUGCCAAUAGUCCCAGGUCCUGGAAGGCAUCAGUCAGGUUGUUGCAAGGAUAGCCCUUGACUAAGACCAGUGGGCCUGCACAACCACACUGGAGUUGGUCACAUGAGCUCCAUAGUGACCAGCCCAGAACUGCGUGUCCUGGCCCCAGUGUUCGAAGGACACAAAGUGGAUGCCCAUCUUGAUGUUAGAGAACAUGUGGGUGACCUGAAAGCAGACAUUGUUGUUCCACUGCUGGAUGGGAACAGGCAUAGCAGAGAAUUUAUGUAGGACAGUCUGGUUGGCAUUUAGAAGUUGGACACGGAGUCAGUACAUACAGCCACUGUCGUGUCAGGCUCCCCACCUGAAGGAAGACACGAAGCAGGUCUGUGAGGGAGUCCCAGGCACCGUUGACCUGUUUACCUCCACCACCCAGCUGUUCCCACUGUGCUGCACCAUCCAUUUCCAGAGGCCUUCUGUUCUGAAGAAGAAAAAUCUUGAGCUGAAUUUACAGAUGGUUUUACAUCAUAUGCUGGUACCACCUGAAGAUGGAUAUUUAUGACACUGUAGCCACACUCAGGGGUGACCCAGAAGGGGAGUGGUGAAGGGAAAUUCUCCUGAUGAAUGGAACUUUGAGCAAUGCAAUGGAACUUUUUGCUUGGAAAGAGAUGGUUAGAGAUGUAGAUCCACUCUGACUCAUGGCAGUAGCAAUUGUUGGGCUUAUUCAUUAUGGACCUGGAAAGAACAUAAUUGGAAGUAUGCGGAAUAGGUAUAUAGAUAUGCUUCUCAGUGGAUAUCAGGUAAUAUUUGUGUUCAUUGUGAAUGCCCAUCAAAGAGUAACCUCAACAGAGAAGGAUCUCUGUAAUCAAGUGGACAAGGUGUAACCUCUGGAUUCUAGUCUCUUUCCCCAGCCACCUUUAUCCUUGCUCAGUGGGCUUAUGAAAAUGAUGUCAGGGUGGCAGGCUGGAGAUUGUGUAUAUGCUUAGCAAUAUGGACUUCCAUUCACCAAGACCAACCUGGCUGCCACUGCUGCUGAAUGACCAGCUUGCCAGUUGGAGAGAGCUGACACUGAAUCCCUGAGAUAGCACCAUUCCUCUGGUAUUUCUUAUCACUUACUUUUGACCAGUCAACUCAUUUUAUAGCAGGUGAAAUGUGGCAUUGGGCUCAUGCUUAUGGAAUUAUGAUCUUACCAUGUUCUCCACUACCUUGAAACAGCUGAAUUGAUACAACAGUGCAAUGUUCUUUGAAAACUCACUUCACCAGCUGGUGGCAGUUCUUUGCAGUUCUGGGGUAAUGUUCUCUAAGAUGUGGUUCCAGUCUCUGAAUCAGCCACCAGUGUGUGGUGGUAUUUCUUUGGUAGCCAGAGGUUCAUAGUUAGAGAAUCAAGAGGUUGACAUAAAGUGAAUGAAGUCCUCUCACUAUUACCCCUAGCAAAAUUUUUGCUUCCUUUCUCAGAACUCGGGGGUAUACUAGUUUAGAGUUCUUAUUCCCAAAGAGAGGAAUGCUUUUACUGGGAAAAGCAGUAUUGGUCCUGUUGAACUAGAAGUUGAACACCUGGCCACUUCAGCUUUUUCAUGCCAGUGAAUUGAUAGGCAAAGCAAAAGAUUACUGGAUUGGUUAGGGUGAUUGAGCCUGACUCCCAAGUGGAAAUUGAGUUGCUGCUACACAGUGAGGGUGAAGAGGACUAUGUGAGGAAUGCAGUAGAUCAUCUGGAGUGCCUCUUAGUACUUCCGUGACCUAUGAUAAAAGUUAACAGAAUAUGAAAGCAAUUGAAUACAGGCAGGGCUGUUAAUGGCAAUGGUUUGAGUCACCAGCCAAGGAGCAACAACCAGAUGAGAUGAUUGCUGAGGAUAAAUGGCAUAUGUAGUAGACAGUAGAAGAAAAUUAUAAAUGCCAGCUAUGACCUCAUGAUCAGUUACAGAAUGAAAACUCUAGUAUUUAUGAAUAUUUGUUCUAUCUAUACCUUAAUAUUUGUGUAUAUAUAGUCGAUUCUUUUUCUCCUCUCUCCCCAGUUCUCCUGUAUUUAACUUAAGGUGUGUUAGCCUAAGUUAAUACUAGGUUAUACUUACUUAAUGCGAAGUUAAAUACCAAGUUAAUACUAGGUUCUUAGUUAAUGCUAAGUUAAAUACUAGGUUAAGUGGUUAACCUAGUAUUUGAGUAUUUAAGUUA